rnacentral:rRNA from 1 species
ACUCAAAUGAAUUGACGGGGACUCGCACAAGCGGUGGAGCAUGAGGUUUAAUUCGAUGAUAAGCGAGGAACCUUACCAGGGCUUGAAAUCCUAUUGUAAGCCAGCCGAAAGGUUGGCCCUCCCACAAGGACAGUAGGACAGGUGCUGCAUGGUUGUCGUCAGCUCGUGUCUUGAGAUGUUCCGUUAAGUCGGUUAACGAGCGCAACCCCUACCCCGUGUUACAAGUGUCACUGGGAACUGCCCAACUCUGUUGGGAGGAAGGAGGGGACGACGUCAAAUCAGCAUGGCCCUCUGAUGCCCUGGGCUACACUCGUGCUACAAUGGCCGUUACAAUGGGUUGCCAAGCCGCAAGGCGGAGCUAAUCCCAUCAAAGACGGCCCCAGUUCGGAUUGAAGGCUGCAACUCGCCUUCAUGAAGCCGGAAUCGCUAGUAAUCGCGGAUCAGCCAUGCCGCGGUGAAUACGUUCUCGAGUCUUGUACACACCGCCCGU